rnacentral:lncRNA from 1 species
UAAAUAGAACCUAAGUUGAAAUUUUAUGACGCAAAUGAAGGGGUUCCCAAAUUACAACAUGUUUCUAUUGAGAAACAACAACAGGAUAGAAGUGAAGGUGAGUUCCAGAAAUUACAAUUCUAGGACAACCUUGAGAGACUUUCAAGUUGGUGAUCAGAGAUUAUCUGUUCGCAGGUUCUCCAUGUGAUCUAUAUGUCAUGCAGAUUUUGAAAUUAUGUAAAUGUAGUAAUUGGGACUUGUUUGACAUUCGUUUCUAUUUAAUAUCUUGAC